rnacentral:rRNA from 1 species
GAUGAACGCUGGCGGCGUGCCUAAUACAUGCAAGUCGAGCGAACGGACGAGAAGCUUGCUUCUCUGGUGUUAGCGGCGGACGGGUGAGUAACACGUGGAUAACCUACCUAUAAGACUGGGAUAACUUCGGGAAACCGGAGCUAAUACCGGAUAAUAUUUUGAACCGCAUGGUUCAAAAGUGAAAGACGGUCUUGCUGUCACUUAUAGAUGGAUCCGCGCUGCAUUAGCUAGUUGGUAAGGUAACGGCUUACCAAGGCAACGAUGCAUAGCCGACCUGAGAGGGUGAUCGGCCACACUGGAACUGAGACACGGUCCAGACUCCUACGGGAGGCAGCAGUAGGGAAUCUUCCGCAAAGGGCGAAAGCCUGACGGAGCAACGCCGCGUGAGUGAUGAAGGUCUUCGGAUCGUAAAACUCUGUUAUUAGGGAAGAACAUAUGUGUAAGUAACUGUGCACAUCUUGACGGUACCUAAUCAGAAAGCCACGGCUAACUACGUG